rnacentral:tRNA from 1 species
GAGGGUAUAGCUCAGUGGUAGAGCAGAUACUGUGUAGCAUCCAGGAGAUCCUGGGUUCAAUCCCCAGUACCUCCN